UGUGUCCUUUUCUUUCAGAGCCCUCCUUCCCAGAAUCCUCAGUUCUCCUGCUUCAUUCUGGAAGAGUGGUUUGCAAGGCCUGCUGCACUAUUCAUCCUGGGACUUUCAUCACUGCUCUCCUGGGCAUUGUCAUGAGCAUAGGAGCCAUAUCCCAUGCCCUUCACUUUUUUGGUUUAUUCCAACUUUUGCUGAAUUGUUAUUUUUUCAAUGGGUGCUAGAUUCACAAAUUGGUCAGUUUAGACAUAGCCAGUGAUGAAGGGUUUCUGACAAACAGGAAAGAAAAAGAUUAAAGAAUUCUGAACAAAGAAACUCACCUGAAUCGCCAAUUGUGUAGGAAGUUACUGGAGUGGAGCAGGGACUCCAGAGGUUGAUACAUGAAUUAAUUCUUAUUCAUGUCAGAUGAGGACACCGAGGAUUUGAUAUAUUUCUAACCUUGCUUAGAAUUGGCAAGGGAUUCGUUUUGGGCCAGAAAUUGAAAAUAGGGAACAUAUUAUGAAGAAAUAGAAGGAGAGAGGAAAGAUAAAGAAAACAGAAAACCUUUAAAAUGGUAGUGAAAAUAAUUACUUUUAGAAAUUAUUCUGACUCGAAUUAUGAUUUCAGGAAAUAAUAGAGAUGGUAGGCACAGUACCAUAGUGGGAAAUUAGCAUAUUUGUAUUGAAUAACAAAGGUCUUGAGAUCUUUGCAUGGUAUAGUCCUGGUACCUGGAACACUCUUCCCCUCUAACACCGGGACUUGUUUUUCAUGUGAUUAAUGUCUCUGCUCAAAGGUCAACUCUGCAGGGAGGUCUUCCAUGAACACCCUAUUUUAAAUAACCCUUCCUUCCUUCCUUUGUCACACUUUCUUUUAUCUUGUUUUAGUUCUCUUCAUAGUACUUAUCACUACUUAGCAGUAUAAUUUUACCCUUGGGAAAUAUAUAUAUAUAUAUCAUUGUAUAUUUACAAAGAAAUAUAUGUAGCAUAGAGUGCAAUCACCAUUAAGAGAAAUAUUUUUCUACAAUUUACUCUGAAAUAAUGCCCAGCACAUAGUAGGCAUUCAAUUAAUAUUUGUAGAAUGAAGGAAUAAAUGAAUGUUUCUGAAGCCCUAAGUAAAAAUAUUGAUUUUCCUUUUCAAGGUUAAAUUGGCAAAGUCCAGCUAUGAAAUAAAACGCAUUGCCCUUAGGUUUACGAAGACAAAGUUUAUUAUAUUGCAUUGGGAUGUUUAUCUGUACCUGUAAGAAGAAAGCGGGUGCCUUGACGAUGAGGUGAACAAUUACACAAGUUUUCUAAAAGAAGUUUAUGCUGUCGACAGAUUUUUAUCUAGGUUAUUUCGUGACAAUCAAAGCACAUUUGGAAGGAUGGGGAAACACUUGUUCCUUCAGGACAACUUUAAGUACGUGAAAUUCUGAGCUUCACAGUAAUGAAAAAACGUUUGGAGUUGGUGCUGCAUCAUGGAGCUGAAGCUGGAACAAAGAGAAUCAGAGCACAGCUGAGCUGUGAGAGGGCAGAGCUCUGAGAGUCUGUGGAGCUUACUUUGCAUAUCCAUCAAUGCCUAAAGAAGUUACCUGUGUAGAUCUAAACUUCCAGGAAUCGAGAAAGACAGAAAAUAUGCAGGAGUUUGACAAUUUGGAGAAAACAGCAUCUUCUGCUCCAUCCCGAGUAAGGGCACAGAUGACCUUGGCUCUGACUCUUCUCUGCCUUCUCCUGCUGAUUGGAUUGAAAAUAGGAAGUGUAUGUAUGUAUUACCCCAGCAACCAGAAUUGUGUGAGUUUUAUAACCAAAGUUUUCUUUUCAAAUUGAGGCCUUGGAAUGAUUACAUGUCAUAUGCCCAGAAAGAGCACUAACAACACGGUACUUAUAGUGUGGUUCUUAGUCUCUUUCUCUCACUCUUGUGGAGCAACUGCUUUCCAACCCUUUCCAUCUCCUUAAAUAGUUUCUGAAAAAGGGAGGUGGUGAUUCUUUUGAGGGAUAAAAAUAUUUGAUUAAUUUUUUUUACCUGAAGUUUACAUAAUCUUGAAGCUAGAAAAGGGAAAUUUGAAUGAACUGCAAAGUUUCAAAGAAGAACUUCAGAGAAAUAUUUCUCUACAAGUGAUGAAACACAAGAAUAUUUCCAAGGAGAACAUGAUCCUCUCCAUCACACUGCAAAACAUCGCCACUGAAUUAUGUCGUGAGCUGUACAAAACCUAAAAAGAGCACAAAUGUAAACCUUGUCCAGAGAAAUGGCUGUGGCAUGAGGACACCUGUUAUAGCUUACCUGACGAGGCUGAAACAUGGCAAAACAGUGAAAGGAGGUGUUCUGCUUGGAAUGCCAGUCUACUGAAGAUUAAAUCAGAAAGUGUUUUGGUAAGGACCCACGGUUCUCUGCCUGUGAGGAAGGAAAUCCCUUUUCCAUCAAAGAAUAGAAAGCAGUGGGACGUUUGGAGGAAGAGAUAUAUUAACCCUGACAUGAUUCUGCCUAUUUUAGUUGAGAUAUCAACUGACUUACCUUUGGGUAUCAUAGCCAAGAUAAACCAUAUUAUUUUUUAGCCUAGGACCUUAGGAUCAUUGGGGUCUUUAGAAACUGAUGGGUAUAUGAGUGGAUACAGCAUGCCCGGAAUGCUCAGGUCUUAAUAUUUCCAGACUGGAGCUCUGAAAUCAUAUCUCAGAACACAGCUUCUGAACAUUUGUCUAAAAACUGAGGAUCUGGAGAUUAUUUCUGAGAGUUACUAAUUCCAUAAAAUCUACACAUGGGGAAAUAUGUUUGUUUUCACCAUUUUGGAUUUCUUUUUCUUUUAAUGAAGAGAAAAAGGUAAGAUAUCCUAGGAUAGCAGAUGGUUUUGGUGAAAUAUGUGUUGUUAGUCCCCAUCUGCUUGGUUCUGCCUCAUGACUACCUUACGUAUAACGGAAUGAAAUGGUGCCUGGUCCUGAGCCAUCUGCAUGGUCAUUGGAUCUUGAGCCCAUUGCCAUGGCCAUUGUGUCAAUUCAUCUCAUUAAGGGUUUUUUUCAUUUUUGCUGACCAUCUACUGUAUCAAACAUAAUCCAUCUUAGAAAAUAUAGUAUCAGAAACCUCCAUAGAGGCAAAGAUAACAAGGCUUUGGCUUGCUUACAUUGGAUACAUUCUCAAGAAAGACCAACGUCUAGAAAACGUCAUCAAAAUAUGUAAAAAUAGAUAGAAUUGUAAUGGGAUGGCAAAGUCAAAUACCAAGAUAUACAUGGCAUUGAGUCCUUGGGUCUCAGGAAAAACGAAUUCUCUGGUUUACAGGAAACACAGAACACUUAAAUGAUAAAUAUUGUUACUAUACAGACAGAACAUAUGUUCAUGGUACUACAUGUACUACAAGAGAAAAGUUCAUGUGUGACAAAUUGGCUGAUAGAGUGAAGAUCGAAAGUAAACUAAUGAUUAAUGUUCCAGAGGGAACUGGGUAGUUAGUGCAAUUUUUUUGCCUCAGCUAAUACCCUGUAGUUGAAGGCAUCUUUAGAGAGCAGGUAUAUCCUGGAAUGUACAAAUGGAAUAAAGAUAUUGUAAAACUAAAUUUCUGCCUUUGUCUUAACAUUUACAUCUUCCAACUUUCUUCUUUUAUUUCAUUUUCUGAAUAAAAAAAA